rnacentral:rRNA from 1 species
GACGAACGCUGGCGGCGUGCCUAAUACAUGCAAGUAGAACGCUGAAGAGAGGAGCUUGCUCUUCUUGGAUGAGUUGCGAACGGGUGAGUAACGCGUAGGUAACCUGCCUUGUAGCGGGGGAUAACUAUUGGAAACGAUAGCUAAUACCGCAUAACAAUGGAUGACCCAUGUCAUUUAUUUGAAAGGGGCAAAUGCUCCACUACAAGAUGGACCUGCGUUGUAUUAGCUAGUAGGUGAGGUAACGGCUCACCUAGGCGACGAUACAUAGCCGACCUGAGAGGGGGAUCGGACACACUGGGACUGAGACACGGCCCAGACUCCUACGGGAGGCAGCAGUAGGGAAUCUUCGGCAAUGGGGGCAACCCUGACCGAGCAACGCCGCGUGAGUGAAGAAGGUUUUCGGAUCGUAAAGCUCUGUUGUAAGUCAAGAACGAGUGUGAGAGUGGAAAGUUCACACUGUGACGGUAGCUUACCAGAAAGGGACGGCUAACUACGUG